rnacentral:tRNA from 1 species
UCCUUCGUGGUGUAGUGGUCAGCACGCUCGACGCGUAACCGAGAGGUCCGUGGUUCGAUUCCAGGCGAAAGCG